ensembl:lncRNA
CCUGCAUCCUCCACUUCAUCUCUGCUUCCUCCUACAUCCUCCUCUUCAUCUCUGCUUGCUACUGCAUCCUCCUCUUCAUCUCUGCUUCCUUCUGCAUCCUCCUGCAUCUCCCUCAAUUUCUACGGCGUACACCUCGGAUGUCCCAACCAAAAAAAGGACAAGGAAAGGUUAGACGUUAUGUUAUUGUAAAUGUACGAAACACAUGACAGGUUCGUUAAGUUUGAUAAGAUUUCUUUUUUCAUUUUGUUUCAUUCUUUCAUUUUCUCCAGUUUUACAGACCUCAUGUAAAUAUUUCCUUUGUUAUUUUUCAGAAUGCUGAAAACACCGUACACAGAAGAUUUUCAAAUAUGAAGAGAUAGUAGACAGGAGAGUUGUAAAUGAAAAAGAAGAAGUUAAAGUCAAGUGGAAGCCCUGCUCAACAUGGUAUGUAGUAACAGCUUUGUUACUACAAAACUCUCCCCCUCUCCCUCACCACCAUCUGUAAACACACAUGUCUCAGUAAUGCAGUUCAUGCAUGUUACUAACUAAACUUCUUCCCUGGAGUUUCUGUGCUCUCUCAUCCAGCAGGUUCUGAAGGAUCGUGGCUGCUGCUGUGGUCCUGCUUGACGUCUGCUUCAUAUAUUAUUACUCUCUGACUUGAUUUGAUUCAUUUAUAUUACAAUGAAGUGGCAAAGUGUGGGAUGACACAUGGGAACCUGCGCAGUUUUACACACAGUAAACCAGGCACCACAGGUGGCAGAGAUCGCACAGUUCACAGUUUGUAGUUCAGCAUAAAAGUUCAAAAUAAGAUAUUUACUGUACAAUUCUAACCAGUGUCAGUCUCUGUUUCACUCUCUAACUGUGGCUUAAGUACAUAAAACACUCGUGAAUCUGAUCCAUCAAUAAUAUCUUCCCAGCACUCGAUAUCUCAUAGUUUUACAUAUCAGUCAACAUUAUUGUCUACAUGCUCAUAAAUAUAGAAGUGACUUGGCUAUUGUAACAUAUUGCAAGUUAAAGCAAUACUGCACUGCACGUAAAGUAAGUAACAUCUUGUAUGAGGUGAUUAGGGUCAGCAGUGCUGUGUAU